AGUUGUAUCCUGGCUCAGGAUGAACGCUGGCGAGAUGCUUUACACAUGCAAGUCGUACGCGAGUCUUUGACUCGAGUGGCGGACGGGUGAGUAACACGUAAGAAUUUGCCUUUAGGAGGGGGACAACAACUGGAAACGGUUGCUAAUACCCCAUAUGCUUUCGAGUGAAAUGGAUUUUUUCCGCCUAGAGAGAAGCUUGCGGCUGAUUAGCUUGUUGGUGAGGUAAUGGCUUACCAAGGCGACGAUCAGUAUCUGGUUUGAGAGGACGAUCAGACACACUGGAACUGAGACACGGUCCAGACUCCUACGGGAGGCAGCAGUGGGGAAUUUUCCGCAAUGGGCGCAAGCCUGACGGAGCAAUCUCGCGUGAGGGAUGACUGCCUAUGGGUUGUAAACCUCUUUUUUCAGGGAGGAAUAAAUGACGUGUACCUGAAGAAUAAGCAUCGGCUAACUCCGUGCCAGCAGCCGCGGUAAUACGGAGGAUGCAAGUGUUAUCCGGAAUCACUGGGCGUAAAGCGUCUGUAGGUGGUUUAAUAAGUCAACUGUUAAAUCUUGAGGCUCAACUUCAAAAUCGCAGUCGAAACUAUUAGACUAGAGUAUAGUAGGGGUAAAGGGAAUUUCCAGUGGAGCGGUGAAAUGCGUAGAGAUUGGAAAGAACACCGAUGGCGAAGGCACUUUACUGGGCUAUUACUGACACUCAGAGACGAAAGCUAGGGUAGCAAAUGGGAUUAGAUACCCCCAGUAGUCCUAGCUGUAACAAUGGAUACUAGAUGUUGAACAGAUCGACCUGUGCAGUAUCAAGCUAACGCGUU
rnacentral:rRNA from 1 species